UACGGAGGGAGCUAGCGUUGUUCGGAAUUACUGGGCGUAAAGCGCGCGUAGGCGGUUUAUCAAGUCAGAGGUGAAAUCCCGGGGCUCAACCCCGGAACUGCCUUUGAAACUAGUAAACUAGAAUCUUGGAGAGGUCAGUGGAAUUCCGAGUGUAGAGGUGAAAUUCGUAGAUAUUCGGAAGAACACCAGUGGCGAAGGCGACUGACUGGACAAGUAUUGACGCUGAGGUGCGAAAGCGUGGGGAGCAAACAGG
rnacentral:rRNA from 2 species